GUUAUCAGCACUGCCAAACUUGUUGCGGAUGAGGGAGGCGAUUUCUCUCGGCUUAGACACGACAGCUCCAGCUGCAGAGUGAGUGGCUUGAGAGAAACUGGAGAGACCACCUGUCACCUGUAAUGAGCGAGAUCAGAGAUUCUCCUGUCAUACUGCUGAUAUCCAGCCCCUACUUCAAUGGCCCUAUAGUUCUGAGUUUUGGAACAGCAGUUCCCAUCAUGCUUUGGGGGAUGCAAGUUAUGACUCGGUGAAGGAGUGUGAAGGGAGAGCCAAGCAAUUUUUUUCUCCUCUUCCAUGCACCCCCCACACACUGGCACUCCAAGCAAUUACCUAUGUAACGUACAUCACAAACCUCCCAAAUCUGCCAGUGCAUCACUUGCAUCAAGACUGGAGAUUCUUACUACUCUCUAAAAAGACUUUACUGUUGCAUGCCCAUGGUUUACUUCUCACGUGGACCACUUGACAGGAC